rnacentral:rRNA from 1 species
UGGGGAAUAUUGCACAAUGGGCGAAAGCCUGAUGCAGCAACGCCGCGUGAGGGACGACGGCCUUCGGGUUGUAAACCUCUUUUAGCAAGGAAGAAGCGAAAGUGACGGUACUUGCAGAAAAAGCGCCGGCUAACUACGUGCCAGCAGCCGCGGUAAUACGUAGGGCGCAAGCGUUAUCCGGAAUUAUUGGGCGUAAAGAGCUCGUAGGCGGUUUGUCGCGUCUGCUGUGAAAACCCGAGGCUCAACCUCGGGCCUGCAGUGGGUACGGGCAGACUAGAGUGCGGUAGGGGAGAUUGGAACUCCUGGUGUAGCGGUGGAAUGCGCAGAUAUCAGGAAGAACACCGAUGGCGAAGGCAGAUCUCUGGGCCGUAACUGACGCUGAGGAGCGAAAGGGUGGGGAGCAAAACAGGCUUAGAUACCCUGGUAGUCCACCCCGUAAACGUUGGGAACUAGUUGUGGGGUCCAUUCCACGGAUUCCGUGGACGCAGCUAACGCAUUAAGUUCCCCGCCUGGGGAGUACGGCCGCAAGG